CACGCUGUAAACGAUGUCGAUUUGGGGGUUGAGCUUUAAGCUUGGCGCCCGUAGCUAACGUGAUAAAUCGACCGCCUGGGGAGUACGGCCGCAAGGUUAAAACUCAAAUGAAUUGACGGGGGCCCGCACAAGCGGUGGAGCAUGUGGUUUAAUUCGAUGCAACGCGAAGAACCUUACCUACUCUUGACAUCCAGAGAACUUUCCAGAGAUGGAUUGGUGCCUUCGGGAACUCUGAGACAGGUGCUGCAUGGCUGUCGUCAGCUCGUGUUGUGAAAUGUUGGGUUAAGUCCCGCAACGAGCGCAACCCUUAUCCUUUGUUGCCAGCGGUUCGGCCGGGAACUCAAAGGAGACUGCCAGUGAUAAACUGGAGGAAGGUGGGGAUGACGUCAAGUCAUCAUGGCCCUUACGAGUAGGGCUACACACGUGCUACAAUGGCGCAUACAAAGAGAAGCGACCUCGCGAGAGCAAGCGGACCUCAUAAAGUGCGUCGUAGUCCGGAUUGGAGUCUGCAACUCGACUCCAUGAAGUCGGAAUCGCUAGUAAUCGUAGAUCAGAAUGCUACGGUGAAUACGUUCCCGGGCCUUGUACACACCGCCCGUCACACCAUGGGAGUGGGUUUUACCAGAAGUAGGUAGCUUAACCGCAAGGGGGGCGCUUACCACGGUAGGAUUCGUGACUGGGGUGAAGUCGUAACAAGGUAACC
rnacentral:rRNA from 1 species